rnacentral:rRNA from 1 species
UACGAAGGGGGCUAGCGUUGCUCGGAAUUACUGGGCGUAAAGCGCACGUAGGCGGAUUGUUAAGUCGGGGGUGAAAUCCUGGAGCUCAACUCCAGAACUGCCUUCGAUACUGGCGAUCUCGAGUUCGGGAGAGGUGAGUGGAACUGCGAGUGUAGAGGUGAAAUUCGUAGAUAUUCGCAAGAACACCAGUGGCGAAGGCGGCUCACUGGCCCGAUACUGACACUGAUGCGCGACAGCGUGGGGAGCAAACAGG